GGUGCCGUUUUCCUGUCUGUGGCCCUGCUUCUGUGUCUCUGACACUUCCUGAUGUGCCUGGGAAUUGCUUGCAGGUGUUGAUGUCCCAGCAGUACGUCGCCACUUAGUUCUCAGGAUUUACAAAAGAGCAAAGCGUAACGCCAUCAGACAACUUUGAGGAAGCGAAGAACAGAGGUGCUGGAACACCUCUUGGAAUACCUAUGGGAACAAGAGUUAGUUACCGAAACAAACUAGAAGAACUUUUAGAAACGCAACAUCCCGGAGAGAACUCUGAUAGAAGUGGGGGACAACCCCAAACUGCUGCGGUUUCCAAGCAACCGAUUUCCAGUGUAGAACAAGAUACCAAGGUUUCCCUGUGUAGCCCUGGCUGUCCUGGAAUUUACUCUGUGGAGCAGGCUGGUCGA
rnacentral:sRNA from 1 species